rnacentral:rRNA from 1 species
GAUGCUGACGAGUGGCGAACGGGUGAGUAAUACAUCGGAACGUGCCCGAUCGUGGGGGAUAACGGAGCGAAAGCUUUGCUAAUACCGCAUACGAUCUACGGAUGAAAGCAGGGGACCGCAAGGCCUUGCGCGAACGGAGCGGCCGAUGGCAGAUUAGGUAGUUGGUGGGAUAAAAGCUUACCAAGCCGACGAUCUGUAGCUGGUCUGAGAGGACGACUAGCCACACUGGGACUGAGACACGGCCCAGACUCCUACGGGAGGCAGCAGUGGGGAAUUUUGGACAAUGGGCGAAAGCCUGAUCCAGCCAUGCCGCGUGCAGGAUGAAGGCCUUCGGGUUGUAAAGCACUUUAAGCGAGGAGGAGGCUCCUAUAGAUAAUACCUAUAGAGAGUGGACGUUACUCGCAGAAUAAGCACCGGCUAACUCUGUGCCAGCAGCCGCGGUAAUACAGAGGGUGCGAGCGUUAAUCGGAUUUACUGGGCGUAAAGCGUGCGUAGGUGGCUAAUUAAGUCAAAUGUGAAAUCCCCGAGCUUAACUUGGGA